AUGAAACGGUGAGGUUGCAAUUCACCAUUAAUAAUAUAUAAUAUAAAAGCAAAUUAAAUUACCACGAAUCUAGACGAAACGUCUUUAGAUAACCUGCGGUUUCAAGGGGUCCUGCGCAAUGGGCGCCCGUGAACCUUGUCAGGACCGAGAGGGAGCAGCAAUAAGCGGUUCCGCUCGUGUGCCGCAGACUCACCUCUUGAGUGACUGCAGGUUAUCUAAGGGCGUUUUUAUAGUUAUUUGGUUUUGU
rnacentral:SRP_RNA from 1 species